GUAUUUUGGGAAAGAAGAGAAAGAUGGCAACAGACAAGGAUAGAAGAAAUCACAAAUAACUCUUAUAAUAUGAUAACAAAAUCUAAAAUUAGUUUCAGUCAUAACAGUUUUGC